AAAUUGUGCACCAGUGGGGGAGCCAGGAAGUAUGAUGUUUCUGCCAGUUUAGCGUCAACACUUGCUGGUUUCCUCUCUGGAGCAUCA
rnacentral:pre_miRNA from 1 species